ensembl:lncRNA
UUUGUAUUUUAGUGUUUUGUGGAAGGUAGAACUUGUAAGUGAUUAAAUUGGUUAUUUAGCUGAGGAGAUUUCUAUUUAUUUUAUUUAUUUAUUUAUUUAUUUAUUUAUUUAGAGACAGAUACAGCACAAGUGGGGGAGGAUCAGAAAAUGAGAGGGAGACAGAGAAUCCCAUGCAGGCUACCCACUGUCAUCAUAGAACCUAAUGCAGGACUCGAACCCAAGAAACCAUGAGAUUGUGACUAUAGCCAACCCAAGAGUCAGAUGCUUAACCAACUGAGCCACCAAGCACCCCAGCUGAGGAGAUUUCUACACAAAGCAUUGGAGUGGUUUAGUUCCUUCUGAACUGUUGAAGUAAAAAGAGAGAGAGUAAAUUGAAGAAACAAUUCUUUUUUUUUUUAAUUUUUAAACAUUUAUUCAUUUUUUUGAUAGAGACAGAGUGGGGGAGGGACAGAGAGAGAAGACACAGAAUCUGAAUCAGGCUCCAAAUUCAGCGUGACAAGGGGCUCAAACCCACGAACCAUGAGAUCUUCACCAGAGCCGAAGUUGGAAGCUUAACUGGCUGAGCUACCUAGGCACCCUGAAAAAACAAUUCUUAAGCAACAAGAAGCCAGAAUUUGAAAAUUUGGAACUUCUCAGCCAUGGUGAAAAAAUAAGAAAGCUUGUUUUGAAGAAAACACUAAGGGUAUGGCUGAACAACCAUUUGAUAGGAGAUCCUGAAUUCUACUUGUAAACUUAAUUUGCCACCUCAACAGAAGCCAAGAGUAGAGAAGAGAUUAUAUCAGCAGAGACACUGCCAGUUUGAACUAAAGGGGGCAGAAAAUGUGGGACAGUGAAAGAAGGUUGCUGGACUUCUUGGAGUUCACAGAAUGGGACCAUAGAGCUAUUCAACUGCAAAUGUGCGCUAUCUUUGAGCAAAGGGAAGAAGUACUCCACCGGCAGUUCAGAGAUUAUCACAGCUGCCACUCCCACCAGGGACGCAAGGAGCAAGGCUGUCUCAACCUCAAUUUCAAAGCAGCCACAGUAUCGACCAAAGGCUCUUGAAAGAAGAAACACAUUCAAGGCCAUUAGUCUGUGGUUGCAUGUGUAUUCGGGUCUCCAACUCACACUCACUCCAUCCUGACAAGUGCAGAAGGUGAAAACAUUGCUAGACAGUCUGUUUCUGAGAGGGAUCAACCUGUUGCCGAAAGAUUUAUCAUCAGGAAACUGUGAGGUAGGAGAAGGCCUUUGCUUGAACUAAAAUUGGUCAUUCAGAGUUCAUUCUGUAACUUGAUCAUUUAUUUAUAUUUUAUGUACCUUCCACCAAGGAGAAGAGGAUGCAUGUGGGACCAUUACUUCACUGAAUGUAGUGUGGUCAAGUGACUGUCUCCUUGGACAGACUUAUAGAGACUUUAUUGUGCAGCUCAUGUGAAUGUUGCUUUUAACCCCUUGGGUUCUGUGUGAUCUCCAGUGAGUAGGGCGAAAAAUUAGAUUGUGCCUUUGCUAUUUGCAUCCACUGCAGAUGGGAUCGUGAGACAUGGCUACUGCUUCUAGCAGACACAUGCUCCGUACACAUACAUGUCUCUCUCCACCCACUCAUGAAAGAGAACAUAGCUGGGGAGAGGUGACAGAGGCCUGGAAAAAUCUAAGGAUGGGUGUUAGGAAAG